rnacentral:rRNA from 1 species
CCUACGGGAGGCAGCAGUGGGGAAUAUUGCACAAUGGGGGAAACCCUGAUGCAGCGACGCCGCGUGAGUGAAGAAGGUUUUCGGCUUGUAAAGCUCUGUCAGCAGGGAAGAGAAAGGACGGUACCUGCCGAGGAAGCCACGGCUACCUACGUGCCAGCAGCCGCGGUAAUACGUAGGUGGCAAGCGUUCUUCGGAAUAACUGGGCGUAAAGGAUGCGUAGGCGGAUAAACAAGUUAGAUGUGAAAGACAGAGGCCUAACCUGGAGAAAGCCGAUAAAACUGGCUAACUGGAGUGCAGGAGAGGUAAGUGGAAUUCCUAGUGUAGCGGUGAAAUGCGUAGAGAUUAGGAGGAACACCAGUGGCGAAGGCGACUUACUGGACUGUAACUGACGUUGAGGCAUGAGAGCAUGGGGAGCAAACAGGAUUAGAUACCCCAGUAGUC